GUUUCCACUCCAACUGUGUCUAUUAACGACGUAAAUGUAUCCGGUACAAUCACAGUGCUAGAGGGGGAAAUGGUGCGAUUUAUAUGCUUCUCUGAUGGGUUUCCUACGCCUUCGUAUAACUGGAAUUUUAAAGGGCACAUUACAGACGGUCAGAUACUGGAAUUAAAAAUCAAACGAACAGAAAAUGGAAAUGCACUGAGGUGCUCAGUAUCUAAUGUAUUGUUGACGAUAAAUGGAAGCAGAACUGCCACGUCAUAUACGCAUUGGGUGGAACUAAUUCUACAAGUAUUGUGUAAGGCAGUGUAAAGUUAUGCGUACACAUAUUAUCGAUAAGAAUCUUUUUUUUGUUUUUGUUUUAAGACAUAUGUCUUACGACUUGACAAAAAUGGAAAGGAAAACACUACGUGUCAAUGAUACAUGGUUUGUUAAUAUAAUUUAUCAUUCCGUUUAUAUUAAUAGAAAAUAUACUUUUAAUAAUGCACUGCUAUCAAACACCAUUCAAAUUAUACUUAGAAUGAAUAAUACAGCAUUGAAGUACAUGUGUCUCAACAGUUCUGGUUGUGUUUACAGAUAAACCCGACAAAUCCGCAGUUCUCAUCAAAACCUGCAACAAUACCAGUGUUCCUCUGAAUGGGUCUCUGACAUUGAGUGACGGAGAAAGCUUUGAAUUGUCAUGUACUGCACAUGGGUAUCCUACGCCUUCUGUUCGUUGGAUUCCGCGAUUUGACGGCUUUGAACAUUUGAACAUAUACUCAGAUCGUAUCAUGUUUCCUACAAACAAAGAGGGACCUAUGCCUGUGUUGCCGAUAACGCCAUGAACAUUACUGCUACUGGUAAAAUAGUUGGGCGGAAUAAUGUAACGGUCCUCUUGGAUAUUAGAGGUAUACGUAACUCCACAACUCUGACAUAAGACACAUUUCUCAAACGGCUUAUACGAUUUGUGCAAAGUGAUUUUAAUAUUAAUAUUAAUGAGACAACACAAUUAUAUUACGAAUAGAAGCAUUACUUAAAAAGUUUAGCAGCAAUGAUGUAUCGUCACUACGUUUAUAUGUAAAGUAGAGUUUUGUUUUAUACAAACAUCCAAAAUAGUUGGAGGGGAAUUUUUCUAAGACCAAAUGAAUCCGCAUCAUUCAAGUAUUAUACAGUAAGAUUGUACUAUUCAAUAGCUCCUCCGAAUCCUCCUGAACAGGCUCAUGUUAUAGCUGACUCAUUGACCGAAAAUUUCGUAACAAUCGAGUGGGUACCAAGUGAAAACGGUGAUGUCUCUGAGACAUUCACUCUGCUUUGGAAAGAGGACAAUAUACCUUACUGGAAUGCAAUUACAAUCCAUUCGCUUACAACGCGUUUUAAUUUGCAAGGCUUGGCACCAGGAAAGAAGUACAAAGUAAAAUUAACGGCUGAAAAUAUUGCUGGAAAAUCAAACGGAACCGACAUAGUCAGCUUUCAAACGGACACUUCUGCGCAAGUUGCUUCUAUUGUUGGAGGAGCCGUUGGCGGUUGUUCCGGACUUGUGAUUGUGUGUGCGCUGACUUUCGUUAUCUACCGAAAAUACCUUAUGUGGAGAAAGAAAAGGCCUUUGCAAAGUAAUGAAUACGAGGAUAUAAUUAAAACAAGAUCAUCAACAAAGGACCUCGAAAGCUAUUGUACAUCAGCUGGUUCGGUGGGCGAAUGCUAUAAGGAAACCGGUUUCCAUGGACGAAACAACCCCACUUACCUAAAAGAUGUGCCACAAGAACAUGAGGAAAGCUACGAGUAUGUAGCGAACCCCAAGUCGAAGAAGAGGGACGUGACAUUAACGCAAUACGACAGCCGCAUCUAUUCGAAUUAGCCGGGCCAGAGGAGAAAUUGUAUCGUUAUCCAUUUUAUAAAUGUUGCAUAUUGGAAAUAACGGAACCAAAACUUAUGUCAUGUAGAUAAAUUAGCGAUGGCAAUACAUGUGUAUGUACAUAUACACUUUAUGACACCUUUACGGAUAUAUUUUUAAUAUUGGGAUAAAUAGCUUUAUGAAAUCUAGACCUAUUUAUUUGUGGGAAGUGUCAUGUCCGAUCACUAAACACAUAACUCUCUGUUUCUGGUUUGAACGCAUUGAGAUUUAAAUGUGGUAAUAUAAAUUCAAAGUGUUGUUUUAAUUAAUGAGUUUUGGUGUACAAAGUUGGUUUGCCACUUGUGCUCUUUGUCCGGUAGAGAACGACGAUGAAUGUCAAUUUGUUAUUUCGGUCCGGUCUCACCGCAAUAAUAUACAGAAGAUGCCGUUAUAGUUAUAAUUCCGUUAUGUGUUAAACUUCCGUAACCACUUUAUGCUGUAGAAACUCUUUAUUUUCUGUGCCAGCUUUCACAAAAUCAUGUAUUAAGAUGCCGUAUUGUUGUUUUGUUUAUUAUAUUUUUCUUUUAAUGUGUACUGCAGUAUAUGUUUGAUUUAAUUCCAAGUAACUGAACUUUACAAAUAACGGUACAUAAUUAACUUCGGCGUUUCUGAAAAUACUUAUGAAUAUUAAAGGUCAGCGUUUUUUCAUAUGGCCUAUAAUUACCAAAAUGUGUAUGUUUGGAAGAUUGGACUUAGUCUAUCGAUUUAAAAGUCAACCAGUCAGAGCUAAAAUUGCCUGGCUUCAAUAAUGACUUCGUGUCCACACACUAUCUUCAACGCUUUAAUUUGUAUCUAGUAAAUUAUUACCAUUUUUAGUUUUACUGGUUGGAUAAAUCAGUUAUUGAGAUUAGUAUUGAGAGUCAAUGUUAACAGAAUUAUCUUAACAAUUGCCAUUAUUGGCAACAAGGCACCACGUCGGGGAUGGGUCAUUGGCGUCGCACUGAAGUGCGGCGACUCGUAUGUAAUACGUUUUUUGUUUCGCUUAUGGGAGGAGAAGUUAUUUUACGGAUCAAUGCAUAUAUUUUUGUUGUCAGAAUAUCUUGCAAAGUGGUGAUUUUUUUGUGUAAAUUAGUGUAAAUAACUUAUGCAUUUGUGCCUAUUAAAUUUACUACAACAUUUAUUGCCAAUAAUGCAAAGCUAAUUCUUUUAAUUAAUAACAGAUCACAGGGAGCGGGCAAUGAUAAAAGAUCACAGGGACUGGGCAAAUACGCGAACCGGUGAAACUUUCUGGUUUUGUAUAAAAACAAAACUUCUUUGUUCCACUAUCCUAGCAACCACAUAGUUACUAAUAAAGGCGCUAUAGAGCUCGAAGCGCAACAUGUAUUAUUAAUUGUAAUAUUGAGUCUUGAUAAAGGAAGCAGCCGCUUAUCAAUGAGGAACAACAUCACAGCACCCCAGUCUCUUUACUAUCAAGUCCUACUACAGUUUUAGUUUUAAGAACCAAAUAUAGAAGGCCGCAGGCCUGACCCUUAUCUUGCCAGUGGAAUGGACCAUUUGGUAUGGACCUUUAACCCCGCUCACUAUCCAGCGUUUAAACUUCCGGGUUUACAUUUAAACCGAAUAUUAAUAGCUUAUUAGUUAGAAGGUGAUUUUUCAAGCGGUUCCGUAGUGUAGUGGUUAAAC